rnacentral:miRNA from 1 species
AUUUGUACCUAAUACAACAUUU